rnacentral:lncRNA from 1 species
AAGAGUCGAAGAGAGAGUGAGAGUCAGAGAUGGAGGAGAGAGUUGAGAGAUGGAAAAAAGAGAGAGAGUUAGAGAGACUGAGAGAGUAGAGAAGAGCGUGAGAGAACAGGAGAGGAGAGACCGAGAGAGAGAGCUGUUGUGCGUUCUGAAUUUUUUUUCUUUUUUAAUGUUGCUGCGUUCUCAGGGCCGCUAUUCACUUAGAAUUAGGUAAAUAAUUUUUUUUAUGGUAGGGUUAUAAUACAAGUGGGCCUAAAUUUUGGGGCCCCCAAAAAUUGGGGGCCCUAGCCCCACCAAUUUAACAUAAGGGCAGGCCCUGGCUAAGAAGGCAAUGGUCAUU